rnacentral:tRNA from 4 species
GUCCGGGUGGCGGAAUGGCAGACGCGCUAGCUUGAGGUGCUAGUGCCCUCUAAGGGCGUGGGGGUUCAAGUCCCCCCUCGGACA